UUUACAAUGGGCUACAUUCCAUCCAAGCAGAACCAGAGGAGAGUCUGGGAAAGAGGCCAGUGCUAUUCAGAAAAGUUUUAGCUGGCAGCUCAUCUCCAAAAAUGACUCUUAAUGAAGUAAGAACAGCAUACAGCGUGCCUUCCAAAUGUCCCGAUUUGCUUACUUCAACUGCUGAAAUUGCUGUGUUCAAAGGGCAAAAGUAAUGAAGUAGAGGUGAGGAAGGCUUUGAAUCUUGGCCUUCUCAGUAGCCUCAGCCAGAUCAAAUUGCUGCAAUCUCUCCAAACUUGUCAGUUCAAUAUAACAUUGAUGUUGAGCUCCAGCUCCCGAAGGACUCAAGGCGGCUUACACUGGGACAAGCCCAAAACUGUAUUACAUCAAUAAAAACAAUAACACAAUAAAAUCACAGUAUAAUAACACACCUUAUAAAAAUUAAUAUAACAUAAAACAUAGACGGUAAUCUCAAUCAGUGUUAGGAAUGGCAAACAUGAAGCUUUCUAGAUUUGCUAAAUUGCAUCUUCAAUGAUCUAUGGUUCUAUUAGGUGGUUGGAGUUGCUGUCCAACAACAUCCAAUAGACUACAAUUCCUCCCUUCAAGUCUACCAAGUCCAUCUUUCCCCUGAUCACCUGCCCUCAGUGGGAAAUAUUUGUGUGGUACCUGGACAACUCAAACAUUUGGAUUGAUAAUUCUAGAAUGGCUCACCUGAACAAUGUUGGCAUUCUUAACUUUUUACUUCCAAAUCCCAGAUUUAGCCUCCUGUGAACAACAGAGCUCCUCUACUUGGUGACACUUUAAACUCCUCCUUUAAUCCUUCACUAACAAAGACCUAUCCAGCCUUGCUCCCUAACUACCAUUGUGACCUUUGUGGGCAGGCAACCCUGUGCAUUCUGGGAGGUGUGGCAAGAGUAAGCUUGUCCAUGUUUAGUGUUGUCAUCUGAUAAGUUUUAAUACAAAGUCACUCUGAUUUAAAAGACAGAAGCGGUUGACAGCACCUCUGUUUUAUGCUGGUCAGAACUGCAUUGCGUAGCUGUAUAGAAGCAUCCUGUGUCUCUUACACAACCCAGUGCAAACUUUAAGAUAUGCAGAGGAGGGCUUUCUUGUGGUCUCAGCACCUUAAAGGGAAGUUUGGUGGAAACAUGAGAGAACUGUGUGUGGCUAUUCUUCGACUCUGAAACACUCUUCCAUCAAUAGAUGACAUUUCCUCCAAGAAGACAACUCUCCCCAUGUUAUACUAUCUUCAGAUUCCUUGCAAGACACACUACCUAUCAGGAAAAAAUGCUCAUUUUGUAUAUCGACAUCAACCAACACUCAAUCAUGUUUUGUGAUAAAAAGCUUUUAUUUUAUAUAAAAGUAAUAAGAAAUUCUUAAGAACUUUACAACUUCUACAAAAGGAAAGUAAAGGCAUAAAGCAUCAGUAAUGGUACGUACGCUGUAACUGUACAAAUCUGCUUACCCCUCACCCAGAUAUUUUAGUUCCUCGGUCACAUUAUUGUAGAAAACGCCAUGAAGAAGUAGACAUGCACAUUAGGUACUUUAUAACAUAGUAACAUUCAGUGUCAUAAACAACUAUUUUUCAGCUACAUGGGUUAUACAUUUU